UUAUAAAAUUGUCCCGCUGCCCGAGUGCGUUUCCUGUCUUGACCAAACACGAAACAUGCUUAAUAACAGCCCCAAUUCGCAAACAAUUGAAUCUGUUUUACCUUCUUUUUUUUUUUUUAAGCCUGUUUAACCAUUAGCAAUGAGUAUAUUUUUUCUUCAAACAAGUGAAUAACCACGAGAAUGGUUUUGUAGCAGGGCAUGGUUCAUGCAACUAAUUCAACUCCAGUUUCUUUCUUAUGCGGAUCAACAUCAGCAAUCAGAUCUUAGACCUAGCAGGGCAAACCCAUCGCUCUUUCCUCAUGUACAGAAAAUAAAAGCAAGUCAUAUUUGAAA